rnacentral:rRNA from 1 species
CAGAGAACUUAGCAGAGAUGCUUUGGUGCCUUCGGGAACUCUGAGACAGGUGCUGCAUGGCUGUCGUCAGCUCGUGUUGUGAAAUGUUGGGUUAAGUCCCGCAACGAGCGCAACCCUUUAUCCUUUGUUGCCAGCGGCUCGGCCGGGAACUCAAAGGAGACUGCCGGUGAUAAACCGGAGGAAGGUGGGGAUGACGUCAAGUCAUCAUGGCCCUUACGGCCAGGGCUACACACGUGCUACAAUGGCGCAUACAAAGAGAAGCGACCUCGCGAGAGCAAGCGGACCUCACAAAGUGCGUCGUAGUCCGGAUUGGAGUCUGCAACUCGACUCCAUGAAGUCGGAAUCGCUAGUAAUCGUAGAUCAGAAUGCUACGGUGAAUACGUUCCCGGGCCUUGUACACACCGCCCGUCACACCAUGGGAGUGGGUUGCAAAAGAAGUAGGUAGCUUAACCUUCGGGAGGGCGCUUACCACUUUGUGAUUCAUGACUGGGGUGAAGUCGUAACAAGGUAAGCGUAGCGAG